rnacentral:pre_miRNA from 1 species
UGCACCUAGUCAUGUGGCCAAGUAAAUGAUCUAGUGCACCUUGUUAUGUGGCCAAGUAAACAUGACUAGGUGCACUAGAUCAUUUACUUGGCCACAUGACUAGGUG